UAUACAUUCUCAAAUAUGUAACUUAACAGGC
rnacentral:piRNA from 1 species